GGCAGGGUACGAUGUCGAUUUGGAGGUUGUGCCCUUGAGGCGUGGCUUCCGAAGCUAACGCGUUAAAUCGACCGCCUGGGGAGUACGGCCGCAAGGUUAAAACUCAAAUGAAUUGACGGGGGCCCGCACAAGCGGUGGAGCAUGUGGUUUAAUUCGAUGCAACGCGAAGAACCUUACCUACUCUUGACAUCCAGCGAAUCCUGUAGAGAUACGGGAGUGCCUUCGGGAACGCUGAGACAGGUGCUGCAUGGCUGUCGUCAGCUCGUGUUGUGAAAUGUUGGGUUAAGUCCCGCAACGAGCGCAACCCUUAUCCUUUGUUGCCAGCGGUUCGGCCGGGAACUCAAAGGAGACUGCCAGUGAUAAACUGGAGGAAGGUGGGGAUGACGUCAAGUCAUCAUGGCCCUUACGAGUAGGGCUACACACGUGCUACAAUGGCGUAUACAAAGAGAAGCGAACUCGCGAGAGCAAGCGGACCUCAUAAAGUACGUCGUAGUCCGGAUUGGAGUCUGCAACUCGACUCCAUGAAGUCGGAAUCGCUAGUAAUCGUGGAUCAGAAUGCCACGGUGAAUACGUUCCCGGGCCUUGUACACACCGCCCGUCACACCAUGGGAGUGGGUUGCAAAAGAAGUAGGUAGCUUAA
rnacentral:rRNA from 1 species